rnacentral:rRNA from 1 species
UGGGGAAUCUUCCACAAUGGACGCAAGUCUGAUGGAGCAACGCCGCGUGAGUGAAGAAGGGUUUCGGCUCGUAAAGCUCUGUUGUUAAAGAAGAACGUGGGUAAGAGUAACUGUUUACCCAGUGACGGUAUUUAACCAGAAAGCCACGGCUAACUACGUGCUAG